CAAUAGCGUAUACUAAUGUUGUUGCAGUUAAAAAGCUCGUAGUUGAACUUCUGGUAGGAGUGUCCCGGCCUUUUUGUUUUUACAAAUUGUAUGCUGUGUGACAUCUCUGGCCAUCCUUCUUCUUUGUUUAAAGGAGAUCUUUCACUGUAAAAAAAUUAGGGUGUUCAAAGCAAAAGUUUCUUUGGAAUAUAUUAGUAUGGGAUGAUAAGAUAGGCUCUAGAUGCUAUUUUGUUGGUUUGCACAUUUAGAGAAUGAUUAACAGGGACAGUUGGGGGUAUUCGUAUUUACAUGUCAGAGGUGAAAUUCUUGGAUUUUGGAAAGACGAACUACUGCGAAAGCAUUUACCAAGGAUGUUUUCAUUAA
rnacentral:rRNA from 1 species